rnacentral:rRNA from 1 species
CAGGCCUAACACAUGCAAGUCGAACGCCCCGCAAGGGGAGUGGCAGACGGGUGAGUAACGCGUGGGAAUCUACCCUGGUCGGCGGGAUAGCUCCGGGAAACUGGAAUUAAUACCGCAUGCGCCCUGAGGGGCAAAGGUUUACCGGAUCGGGAUGAGCCCGCGUCGGAUUAGCUAGUUGGUGGGGUAAAGGCCUACCAAGGCGACGAUCCGUAGCUGGUCUAAGAGGAUGAUCAGCCACAUUGGGACUGAGACACGGCCCAAACUCCUACGGGAGGCAGCAGUGGGGAAUAUUGGACAAUGGGCGCAAGCCUGAUCCAGCCAUGCCGCGUGAGUGAUGAAGGCCCUAGGGUUGUAAAGCUCUUUCACCGGGGACGAUAAUGACGGUACCCGGAGAAGAAGCCCCGGCUAACUUCGUGCCAGCAGCCGCGGUAAU